UGCUCCCUCCCCUCUUCCUCUUUGGCUCUCUCUCUCUCUUUUUCCAGACACCUUAAGGAAUUCAACAACCCCUCCCCUGCACACAGGCUUCUUCCAGCCAGAUGCCAUGUUGCAAGAUUUCCUCUGGAGAGGGCCUCUUGGCAAGGAACUGAUGUCUCUGGCCAGCAGCCAGCGAGGACCUAAGAUCUGUCAACAGCCAUGCAGAAGGGACAAUGAAUUGUGACUCGGAAAUUAAUCAGAUGAGACCUGAUGACUGAAGUACAUCACAGAGCUAGGAAGAGAGAUUACUAAGCAACACGGUGAGAGCUCCAUCCUCUGGGUAUUCAGCCAACUACAGAUCACUCAAAGGCAGACAUUCUGGGAUCUUCCAUCCAUCAAGCUGAACCAGAGUACAAGGCCAAAACCAGUGAAUGACAAAGCAACCCCAUGCCCAGCUUAAGAGUUUCCUCAGAGAGUUUGUCUUGUAGGAGUCAUUAGACACUAAUUUGAUUCUAUUUGCAUGUGCACACCCUGCCCUUUGCCAAACAGGGAGAGAAUCACACUUGAGAGCUAGCGCUCAGCUCAGUCUCUUCUCCACACCACGCUAGUGCACCAAGAACAAGGUUAUAGGUGUGGCAAAAAAACAAACCCUGCCAAUGCUCUAAGUAUAUGUUUGAUGUAAUCUUAUUUCUCAUAAAAUUAAGAGGAUAAUAUUUUUAGGUGAUGCAGAGUAUGAGACUGUCAUUAGGUUACUCUGAAUCUCUUUCUCUCUCUCUCUUCAUGGUAAAAAUUAAGUUCCAUUAGGAAAAUUCUUCCUCCCCUUCCUUCCUCCCAUUGGUCUUUCCUCCUAAGAUCCAGGUAGCUCUGAGAAAGUUUGUUUCAUCUAUGCGUUGGCCUGGGAAUCCUCCUCUUGUUAAUCUACACAAAUAAAAUCAUCU
rnacentral:lncRNA from 10 species